rnacentral:rRNA from 1 species
GACGAACGCUGGCGGCGUGCUUAACACAUGCAAGUCGAACGGUAAGGCCCUUCGGGGUACACGAGUGGCGAACGGGUGAGUAACACGUGGGUGAUCUGCCCUGCACUUCGGGAUAAGCCUGGGAAACUGGGUCUAAUACCGGAUAGGACCACUGCCUGCAUGGGGGGUGGUGGAAAGCUUUUGCGGGUGGGGAUGGGCCCGCGGCCUAUCAGCUUGUUGGUGGGGUGGUGGCCUACCAAGGCGACGACGGGUAGCCGGCCUGAGAGGGUGACCGGCCACACUGGGACUGAGAUACGGCCCAGACUCCUACGGGAGGCAGCAGUGGGGAAUAUUGCACAAUGGGCGCAAGCCUGAUGCAGCGACGCCGCGUGAGGGAUGACGGCCUUCGGGUUGUAAACCUCUUUCAGCACCGACGAAGCGCAAGUGACGGUAGGUGCAGAAGAAGGACCGGCCAACUACGUGCCAGCAGCCGCCGUAA